UACGGAGGGGGCUAGCGUUGUUCGGAAUUACUGGGCGUAAAGCGCACGUAGGCGGAUCGUUAAGUCGGGGGUGAAAUCCCAGGGCUCAACCCUGGAACUGCCUUCGAUACGGGCGAUCUGGAGGUCGAGAGAGGCGAGUGGAAUGCCGAGUGUAGAGGUGAAAUUCGUAGAUAUUCGGCGGAACACCAGUGGCGAAGGCGGCUCGCUGGCUCGAUACUGGCGCUGAGGUGCGAAAGCGUGGGGAGCAGACAGG
rnacentral:rRNA from 1 species